CCUACGGGAGGCAGCAGUGAGGAAUAUUGGUCAAUGGACGAGAGUCUGAACCAGCCAAGUAGCGUGAAGGAUGACUGCCCUAUGGGUUGUAAACUUCUUUUAUAUGGGAAUAAAAUGUUCCACGUGUGGGAUUUUGUAUGUACCAUAUGAAUAAGGAUCGGCUUACUCCGUGCCAGCAGCCGCGGUAAUACGGAGGAUCCGAGCGUUAUCCGGAUUUAUUGGGGUUAAAGGGAGCGUAGGUGGAUUGUUAAGUCAGUUGUAAAAGGUUGCGGCUCAACCGUAAAAUUGCAGUUGAAACUGGCAGUCUUGAGUACAGGAGAGGUGAGCGGAAUUCGUGGUGGAGCGGUGAAAUGCUUAGAUAUCACGAGGAACUCCGGUUGCGAAGGCAGCAUACCGGCGCUCAACUGACGCUCAUGCACGAAAGUGUGGGUAUCGAACAGGAUUAGAUACCCGGGUAGUC
rnacentral:rRNA from 1 species